GACGAACGCUGGCGGCGUGCUUAACACAUGCAAGUCGAACGGAAAGGCCCUGCUUUUGUGGGGUGCUCGAGUGGCGAACGGGUGAGUAACACGUGAGUAACCUGCCCUUGACUUUGGGAUAACUUCAGGAAACUGGGGCUAAUACCGGAUAGGAGCUCCUGCUGCAUGGUGGGGGUUGGAAAGUUUCGGCGGUUGGGGAUGGACUCGCGGCUUAUCAGCUUGUUGGUGGGGUAGUGGCUUACCAAGGCUUUGACGGGUAGCCGGCCUGAGAGGGUGACCGGCCACAUUGGGACUGAGAUACGGCCCAGACUGCUACGUGAGGCAGCAGUGGGGAAUAUUGCGCAAUGGGCGGAAGCCUGAUGCAGCAACGCCGCGUGCGGGAUGACGGCCUUCGGGUUGUAAACCGCUUUCGCCUGUGACGAAGCGUGAGUGACGGUAAUGGGUAAAGAAGCACCGGCUAACUACGUG
rnacentral:rRNA from 1 species